CUGCUGUAAUUGAGUGCUACUUUUCUGUUUCCAUACCAUAGUACCAUACAACCUUUGAUUCCAAACCAUAUAGUCACAUGAUGAGAAGAUUCUCUGGAGGAAGACUUUGAUUGGCUUUGAUGCUCUAUUAUCUUCUUAAUUUAGUCUUAAUUUUUAUUCGGCUUCUGAAACUGCUCCUCCGCUUGGGAUUGCAAUAACUAGAUGUUUUGGCCAAUGAAAGGUAAGAGCUUCUUUGAACAGUUAAUCAAACGGCAGCUUUUCCGAAGCUCCAAUGGGACCAAACAUGAGUAGAUUCUUUGUAAAUAAUGUUCUAAGGGCGAAAAGAACGAAAGACUAGGAAUGAACACAAAGCGCACGGACCAGAUUGUCUUUUAAGAGUGGUAGAUUCUACGGCUGGCUUUGUAUAAAUCUUGCAAAUAUUCGGCCGAAUCGAAUCGUCCCCCUCAACAAGUUGUCAACCACGUCCAUGUACUGCUGUUUUGUGUUGCAGAUGAUUGAGAACUCAGCUGGCCUCCCUUGUUGCCGCAAACGCCGUCAACUGUAAACGCAUUGGCACUCUCGGUAUUUGAAUCUCAUGCAUCCCGGUGAUGUUAUAACUUGUGUCUAAGAUGCCGGCCCACCGGCCAUCAACCAAUUUUUCUUUCAUUAGCGCUGGCAUAUUGGGCUAGCUAGGUGAAAUGUUUUACUUAUUGUCGCACUGGGCCAUUAGAAAUUUUAUUUUGCAUGUACGUAUAACACUGUUUGAUAGUUAAGGAGUAUAAUCGAAAUUACGACUCUUCUGAACAAUUCAUUAAUUGAAUUCUUAAAUACCAUCAAGAUCAACUGCAACAUUACACGGAACUUAUUCUACUGCACUUUUUUUUCUCUCUCUUUCUUUUUCAGAAGGUGAAUUCAACAGUCUUGUUACAUCCCAAGUGCAUGAUCAACUGCUCCAUCUCUCAAUCCAUCAGCAACUAUCUUGGCUGAAUCCAAUCAUCGAUCUCUCCAAGUCGUAGACCACCUCCAUCGACCGCUGCUGCACAUUCCCUAUGAUCGAGAAUUCGCCGGCCUCACUCGUGGCUGCGAAUGCCAAGCAUGCCUGCGACAUCGAGGGGUCUAUGAAGUACAUUAUACCAUAGAAAGGGAGGUCAAUCGCAACCCCGUUGCUGAAUUCUAAAGUCACUAUCGGAAUUACAGUCGUAUUCAAUCCGGUGAAGUUGUAGCACGUGUCGAAUAUCGCAUAGGGUGGCCUCAUUCUGUAUCUCGUCAUCCACCGGCGGAACUCAUCGCGAAGUGCUGAGUAAGCAGUUGGUGGGAGGUAAGUGGCAACCGUGCCGGAGUCGAUAAUAGUUCCCACCUUGGUGAAGACGGUCUGCGGGAUCGAAAGGUUCCUUCCUCCCACUUUGAGACCAACAAGUCCCACGAAGUAGAAGGACGGAGCAUCUGGCUCGGUUAUCAUCGGUGUGUACUGAACCUCAUCAGAAGGUGGAAGCUGAUUUCCGAUUGUUAAGUAUCCAAUCUCACGAUUGAAAGGCGGGAGGCAGUAGGAGAAGGCUCCGCCGUAGAUUGGCGCCGCUUGCGAGGCCAAAGAAACCUUUCCUCUUCCCAAUCCAAUGAGCCCGGCGACCCCGCCGAAUAAGCCCUUGUUCAUCUCGCCGCACCCAAAAUUGAAAUUCUUGAGAGCAUGCAAGGGUGUUAUAGAGAGCGUCUCCUUCGCAAAAUAGCCAGCUGAAUAGGAGCCGUCGCCGUACUGGACGGCAUACAUGCAGUUGGAGUCAUCACAGUUCCCUCCUACUAAGGAGCACUCGGCGGAAUCGCAAGAUAUGUUGGUGUAUGUGGAGGAUUGGGACGGGUUGAAGAGAGGGUCUAUUUGGGGGUAGCAUUGGCCGACACACGGCUCGCAUUGGAUCCAGGAUAUGUCGCUACCAGUAUCGAAGAUCACGGUAAAGUUCUUUGGGGGUGUGCCGUAUCCAACAGUGACGACGUAGUCGAGUGUACCGAGCGCGCUACCAAGUCCGUCGGGAAUGGUCACACUAUGAGGCGAGGGAGCGCUGGCGGGGGCCGACUGGUCUGCAGUGGUAGAGAGAGGAAAACUCUGGUGGAGAGCGUUGACUCGGGCGGUGUCGCGGUGGAGGAUUUCUUCGUGGUUGGGGGCUUCCAAGCCGUGCAAGGGGGAGCAUGGACCGCGCCUCUGGACUACUGCAUUCAGCAACUUGUCGGGACGAACCCGAUCAUCGACCUGUCUAAAUCGUAGAUCACCUCCAUCGACCGCUGCUGCACAUUCCCUAUGAUCGAGAAUUCGCUGGCCUCACUUGUGGCCGUGAAUGCCAAACACCCCUGCGAUUGCGAGCUGUCGACGAAGUACAUUAUGCCGAAGAAAGUGAGAU